rnacentral:rRNA from 2 species
GGGUUGUGAGGUUAAGCGACUAAGCGUACACGGUGGAUGCCCUGGCAGUCAGAGGCGAUGAAGGGCGUGCUAAUCUGCGAUAAGCGCCGGUAAGGUGAUAUGAACCGUUAUAACCGGCGAUACCCGAAUGGGGAAACCCAGUGUGAUUCGUCACACUAUCAUUAACUGAAUCCAUAGGUUAAUGAGGCGAACCGGGGG